UCUUAUUUCCCUAGUCGAUAAGUUAUCGUACUUGUAAGUCAUAUUGUCGCGUCGACCUGCCAGGCGAAAUGUUUAGCCUUUUGUCUCAGGAAAGGCCUCGGACUACAGGCGCUGACGCUGUACCGACAGGCUCAAUUUCAGACCCAUUUUGCUGUUAGGUUUUUUCGCGCGCUUGUGUACAAGUUAUCAGCAACGAACGUACAGUACAUUGCCAUGCUACGUAAGUUUAUCGUAUUGUUGUAUCUUUUGGGUACCGCGACAUUGAGUGAACUAGCACGUAGUCCUAUCUACACCAUCCUGAGAAAACACAUGUCACGUUGUCCGCCAAGCCCGAGAGCACGUGCUUGCGCGCGGUACCACGUGAUCAGUAGUACAAAACAACUAUGCACCAGGAGGCGGGCGUUGUCCCGUUUGCGUCGACAGGCGAGGCGUUACUUCGGCCACACUUCGGCUUGGGUGCUGUAGGCUGUACUCAACUGCACCGCGCGAUGGGAGAACAAGAGGAUUUGUCGACCGCCGACUCAGGCUACAGCGACGACGCCGAGCUGCGCGAGGUGUUUGUCUUGCUUGACCGCGACUGCGACCUGGAGCUGAGCUUCGACGAGCUGAAGACGGCGGUGCGGGCGCUGGGCCUUGCCGUGAGCGAGGCCGAGAUGGAGGAAGUGCGCGAGGAGCUCGAGGCGUGCGCGGGCCGCACGACCGUCGACUACAUGGGCUUCCUGUCGGUGCUGGCCAAGCUCGAGUUCGGACACCUACGGCUACCGGAACGCAGUAGCGCACAGGAGCGAGAGACGCGUAGGGCGCUUGAGAUACUCGACCCCAGUGCCACCGGCCUGGUGAGUGUCCGCGACGUGCGCUGGCUGCUGACGGCCAUCGGAGAGAAACUGACCGUCGAGGAAGUCAACCAGGUCCUGGGCGAGCUGGGAUGCGGCGGCGAAGACGACGACCGCGUGCCCUACAAGGAACUAGUCGACAUGCUCUUCAGGGACAGCUGAGCGAAGCGCACCAUUGCGAAGCCCGCUAUGGCUACGAUGGCCUCUGCUCUUUAGUUGAUGGAGUCUAUGGUGUACAGUCGCAAGCUUUGACUGUAAACACGGCAGCGAUGAGCCGAUUUCUAUUCCAUGGCAUCCGUUUGAAACAUGGCGGAGACAAAUAAGGCAGCUUGCU